UACGUAGGGUGCGAGCGUUGUUCGGAUUUACUGGGCGUAAAGGGCGCGUAGGCGGCGUGGUAAGUCACUUGUGAAAUCUCUGAGCUUAACUCAGAACGGUCAAGUGAUACUGCUGUGCUAGAGUGCGGAAGGGGCAAUCGGAAUUCUUGGUGUAGCGGUGAAAUGCGUAGAUAUCAAGAGGAACACCUGAGGUGAAGACGGGUUGCUGGGCCGACACUGACGCUGAUGCGCGAAAGCCAGGGGAGCAAACGGG
rnacentral:rRNA from 1 species